rnacentral:ribozyme from 12 species
UUUCUUUCUUUCUUUCUUUCUUUUUGUUCAUUUUCUUUCUUUCUUCAAUCGUCCCUUCUUGUCGUUUACCAUCCCAAGAAUCAAGAAGGAUGGACCAACUGAUCCCUGGUGACCCAUCCAUCCAUCCAAGAACACAAACGAAGGAAUCAAUCAAUCAAUAUCUCUCAAUAUCUCUCAAUAGUUCU